rnacentral:rRNA from 1 species
AUUGAACGCUGGCGGCAGGCCUAACACAUGCAAGUCGAGCGGGGUUUUCGGACCUAGCGGCGGACGGGUGAGUAAUGCGUAGGAAGCUACCCGAUAGAGGGGGAUACCAGUUGGGAACGACUGUUAAUACCGCAUAAUGUCUACGGACCAAAGUGUGGGACCUUCGGGCCACAUGCUAUCGGAUGUGCCUACGUGGGAUUAGCUAGUUGGUGAGGUAAUGGCUCACCAAGGCGACGAUCCCUAGCUGGUUUGAGAGGAUGAUCAGCCACACUGGAACUGAGACACGGUCCAGACUCCUACGGGAGGCAGCAGUGGGGAAUAUUGGACAAUGGGCGCAAGCCUGAUCCAGCCAUGCCGCGUGUGUGAAGAAGGCCUUCGGGUUGUAAAGCACCUUCAGUAAGGAGGAAGCGUUGAGUGUUAAUAGUACUCAGCGUUGACGUUACUUACAGAAGAAGCACCGGCUAACUCUGUGCCAGCCGCCGCAGUAACAC